GGCUCAGGAUGAACGCUGGCGGCGUGCCUAAUACAUGCAAGUCGAGCGAACGGAUAAGGAGCUUGCUCCUUUGAAGUUAGCGGCGGACGGGUGAGUAACACGUGGGUAACCUACCUAUAAGACUGGAAUAACUUCGGGAAACCGGAGCUAAUGCCGGAUAACAUUUGGAACCGCAUGGUUCUAAAGUAAAAGAUGGUUUUGCUAUCACUUAUAGAUGGACCCGCGCCGUAUUAGCUAGUUGGUAAGGUAACGGCUUACCAAGGCAACGAUACGUAGCCGACCUGAGAGGGUGAUCGGCCACACUGGAACUGAGACACGGUCCAGACUCCUACGGGAGGCAGCAGUAGGGAAUCUUCCGCAAUGGACGAAAGUCUGACGGAGCAACGCCGCGUGAGUGAUGAAGGUUUUCGGAUCGUAAAACUCUGUUNNNGGGAAGAACAAAUGUGUAAGUAACUGUGCACAUCUUGACGGUACCUAAUCAGAAAGCCACGGCUAACUA
rnacentral:rRNA from 1 species